AUGUACCACGCGGACACUGCGGUUCUGAGCGCGCCGUCCGCGCCCACCUGACCGCUGCUGGCGACGCGUUGUUCGCC
rfam:Xanthomonas oryzae pv. oryzae KACC10331, complete genome.